rnacentral:rRNA from 1 species
GACGAACGCUGGCGGCGUGCCUAAUACAUGCAAGUCGAGCGGACCUUAGCGAUCUUCGGAUCGCUCUUGGUUAGCGGCGGACGGGUGAGUAACACGUAGGCAACCUGCCCGUAAGACCGGGAUAACUACCGGAAACGGUAGCUAAUACCGGAUAAUUUAUCGCUUCGCAUGGAGCGGUAAUGAAAGACGGAGCAAUCUGUCACUUACGGAUGGGCCUGCGGCGCAUUAGCUAGUUGGUGAGGUAACGGCUCACCAAGGCGACGAUGCGUAGCCGACCUGAGAGGGUGAACGGCCACACUGGGACUGAGACACGGCCCAGACUCCUACGGGUGGCUG